rnacentral:rRNA from 1 species
GAGACUUGGUCCAGACCUCACGGGAGGCAGCANUGGGGAAUCGUCCGCAACCGGGAGAAAGCCAGACGGAGCAACGCCGCGUGAGUGAAGACGGCCUUCGGGUUGUAAAGCUCUGGUUAUACGGGACGAAUAAUCUUGUGGGUUAAUACCCAUAAGAAGUGACGGUACCGUAAGAGAAAGCCACGGCUAANUACGUGCCAGCAGCCGCGGUAAUACGUAGGUGGCAAGCGUUGUCCGGAAUUAUUGGGCGUAAAGGGCGCGCAGGCGGCUUCUUAAGUCUGUCUUAAAAGUGCGGGGCUUAACCCCGUGAUGGGAUGGAAACUGGGAAGCUCAGAGUAUCGGAGAGGAAAGCGGAAUUCCUAGUGUAGCGGUGAAAUGCGUAGAUAUUAGGAGGAACACCAGUGGCGAAAGCGGCUUUCUGGACGAAAACUGACGCUGAGGCGCGAAAGCCAGGGGAGCGAACGGGAUUAGAUACCCCGGUAGUCCUGGCCGUAAACGAUGGGUACUAGGUGUAGGAGGUAUCGACCCCUUCUGUGCCGGAGUUAACGCAAUAAGUACCCCGCCUGGGGAGUACGGCCGCAAGGUUGAAAUUCAAAGGAAUUGACGGGGGCCCGCACAAGCGGUGGAGUAUGUGGUUUAAUUCGACGCAACGCGAAGGACCUUACCAAGCCUUGACAUUGUUCGCAAGGAGUAGAGAUAUUCUGUUCUUCUUCGGAAGACGAGAAAACAGGUGGUGCACGGCUGUCUUCAGCUCGUGUCGUGAGAUGUUGGGUUAAGUCCCGCAACGAGCGCAACCCCUUUUUUUUGUUACCAGCACGUAAGGGUGGGGAUUCAGGAGAGACUGCCGCAGACAAUGCGGAGGAAGGCGGGGAUGACGUCAAGUCUUCAUGCCCCUUAUGGCUUGGGCUCCACACGUACUCCAAUGGUUUUUAAUAGAGGGAGGCGAAGGAGCGUUCCGGAGCAAACCCCAAAUAAGAGUCUCAGUUCGGAUUGUAGGCUGCAAUUCGCCUACAUGAAGCAGGAAUCGUUAGUAAUCGCAGGUCAGCAUAUUGCGGUGAAUACGUUCCCGGGCUUUGUACACACCGCCGGUCACACCACGAAAGUCUUUCACACCCUUAGCCGGUGGGGUAACCGCAAGGAGCCACCCUUCAAAGGUGGGGGCGAUGCUAGGGGUAAGUCGUA